GACUUGCCAGGUUUGCCAAACCAAUCAGCCCACGAAGCCUUUCGGAAUAAAUUCCCCAAAAAGCCCCCCUUUCUUCUGCUUCUCCACUUCUUUCAUCUUCCUCGUCUUUCUCUUCCCUCUCAAAAAUGGCUACAAGCUCGCAUUCAAGAAGAUCCAGCGGACAAGUUCUACAUUCUCGUGGAAGAUUUCAAACCCCUCAUACGAAUUCUUAUUUGUCAUCCUCUUCAUCUUCCUCUGCCUUUGCUUCUUCAACUAGCUCCAGUUUCUGUUCCCCACCUACAGUAUUUUUUCAUGCUAAUCACCAUAGAUCAGAUUCCCCUACUCGCGUUAAUCUCUACACGACGUCGUCUCCUCAUUCUCAUUCCUUUCGCUUUUCUAUCGGCAGAUCUAGUUCGCCUAACCGUUCGAUAACGGUUUCCAAGCAGAAUAACCCAAUCUCUCUCCCGAAGAAGACUUGCAUGUGUUCUCCAACUACGCAUCCAGGAUCAUUUCGGUGUAGUUUACACAAGAAUACUGGUAUUCACAGUCAUGGAAGUGGUACCGCACUGUAUACGCCUAAUCGCCUGAACAUGAGGCGAUCGGCAAUGAAGAAUUCACUCGUUAGGAUCGGUGGUGUUGAAGGUGAGUGGGUAAAGAGAGCGUUGACGGCGUUGAUUCGGCCAUCUUCACAUCAGCAAAGGCGUAGGGCUGAUUUCCAGCCCAGGCCAAGCCGCCUCGUGGUUAUGUCGAAGGCCGAUGAUAUCUGAUUCUGCUCGGAGUUACAGUGUGGGGCCACGGGAAACCCGUUAUAUUCGGCGUUAAUGUUGCCGUUAGUGACAUGGGCGGAUGCCGAGUAUCCUUUCCUUUCAUCGUUACCGUUAUUCCUUGCUUGAGCCGUUGCUAAUGCCGUUACUUAAGCUUGGUUGUGCUGUAUCUCGUGGGGGUCUGAAGCCUUGGCCUGCACGGUGGACUUGGAACUUAAUAUAAAUAAUAAAAAACUUUAAUUGAUAAAAGAAAAGGUCAUCAGUGAGAAGAUUAUGGUUGCUAAUUAAUGAGUAAAAGAAUUACCGCAUACCAAAAUAUUAUUAUGUGAAACUUAAAUUUGAAAUUUUUGGAAAAACACUAUCCAUUGUCGAAAUCGAAUUUUGUUACGCCGCUUGUAAGAGCGAAUUAGCAGUCUGUAAAUUUAUUUUCUUGAAAAAACAUUGUCUUCAAAUAUAUACUAUGUUACUUUAAAAUUCA